GCCGCGCCUGCCGGUGGCCCCCGAGGUUCCAGCAGAGCAAAGCUGGACCCGCUGCCCGGGGCCCACACCCUUCCCGGGGCAGUGCGCCCCGUCCCGCCCCCACCGCCUUUUCACAGGGGGAUGCUGACUAGCCGAAUACGGCGGGAAUAACAGCCAUUUGUUCUGGUUAUCGCUGCCGGUAUUGAAGCCAGAUGUGUGCGCUGCUGACACUGACAUGGUGCAUCUGGCCGGGCUUUUGGUUUCCAUCGCGGAGCCGACCACAUCCACCCCGGCCUGCGAGAAGAGAGGAGGCGAGCAUCUGGAAGUCAUUGCAGCUGUCGCGCUUCAAGCGGAUCCUGUGCCGCAGAGGAGAGAACUCAGAUCCUCGAAAUUAUUUCCGUUUGCUCCAGUGGGGAAGCUAGGCGAGGUUCUCAAACAGCACCGCACCCCAGUGAGAAAAGGAUAUUUGAUAUUUAUUGAGGGUUCACUGUGUGCCACGUACAAUGUCAGAUGCUCUCCGUCGUGGCUGAUGAUCAAUGGAGUGUGUUUCAGACUUCAGAGCCAACUACAAUCUCCUUCCUCUGCUCAGGGAUCAAUCCCACCUCACUGCUACCUCAAGACCUUGUGAUGCUGAAGUCGGAAAAUACCUUCUCACACCUUACCUCGACUACCUCCUUCCUUUCUUCCCUUUGGUGGGCAGAAGCUUCUGCUGUGAUGGCAAGGGAAGGAGGGAGGCUGGCAUUUAGAGAUCAUUUAAUAUCUAAAAAUGUGUAGGUCAGGACUUCCUGGAGGUCCAGUGGUUAAGACUCUUUGCUUCCAUUGCAUGGGUUGUGGGCCUGGUCAGGGAACCACAGUGUGGCCAAAAAUAAAACAAAAACAAA
rnacentral:lncRNA from 1 species